UACGUAGGGCGCAAGCGUUAUCCGGAAUUAUUGGGCGUAAAGAGCUCGUAGGCGGUUUGUCGCGUCUGCCGUGAAAGUCCGGGGCUCAACUCCGGAUCUGCGGUGGGUACGGGCAGACUAGAGUGCAGUAGGGGAGACUGGAAUUCCUGGUGUAGCGGUGAAAUGCGCAGAUAUCAAGAGGAACACCGAUGGCGAAGGCAGGUCUCUGGGCUGUAACUGACGCUGAGGAGCGAAAGCGUGGGGAGCAAACAGG
rnacentral:rRNA from 1 species